AGAGCGAACGCUGGCGGCAGGCCUAACACAUGCAAGUCGAGCGCCCCGCAAGGGGAGCGGCAGACGGGAGAGUAACACGUGGGAACGUACCCUUCAGUUCGGAACAACCCAGGGAAACUUGGGCUAAUACCGAAUACGUCCGUAAGGAGAAAGAUUUAUCGCUGAAGGAUCGGCCCGCGUCUGAUUAGCUUGUUGGUGAGGUAACGGCUCACCAAGGCUACGAUCAGUAGCUGGUCUGAGAGGAUGAUCAGCCUCACUGGGACUGAGACACGGCCCAGACUCCUACGGGAGGCAGCAGUGGGAAUAUGGACAAUGGGCGCAAGCCUGAUCCAGCCAUGCCGCGUGGAUGAUGAAGGCCUUAGGGUUGUAAAGUCCUUUCGACGGGGAAGAUAAUGACGGUACCCGUAGAAGAAGCCCGGCUAACUUCGUGCCAGCAGCCGC
rnacentral:rRNA from 1 species